rnacentral:rRNA from 1 species
GUGCCAGCCGCCGCGGUAAUACGUAGGUGGCGAGCGUUAUCCGGAAUCAUUGGGCGUAAAGAGGGAGCAGGCGGCCGCAAGGGUCUGUGGUGAAAGACCGAAGCUAAACUUCGGUAAGCCAUGGAAACCGGGCGGCUAGAGUGCGGAAGAGGAUCGUGGAAUUCCAUGUGUAGCGGUGAAAUGCGUAGAUAUAUGGAGGAACACCAGUGGCGAAGGCGACGGUCUGGGCCGCAACUGACGCUCAUUCCCGAAAGCGUGGGGAGCAAAUAGGAUUAGAAACCCCUGUAGUCC